rnacentral:lncRNA from 1 species
UGUGGCGAAUGAAUGGUGUAUGGUGAUGAUGGUAAUAACAAUGGUGAAAGUCUAAUUCUACUUUUACUCUUUUGAGGGGAUACAUACCUUCCUUGCUUUUUGAAACUUUAUGAGGAGAAUGAGAUGCUCUUCUUUUUCUUUCCUCUCAGGUGGGUAUCUUGUACCCCUAAUUCUACUGUCGGACACUUGUCCAUUUUUACCUCUCAUCUCACUUUUUCUCUUUUUUUUCAGAGCACUCAUCUCUUGAGAUAAUAUAGCAAGUGGUAGUAACCAAAAUAUUUGGAGCAUUUAUUUCAUAGGGAAUAACAGGGAUAGGAAAAUGUUUUUGACUAUUCUCUCCCGGAUUAGGAGUAGAAUAUUUUUGGGUGAUUCUGGAGAUGGAAAUGGAUGGAUAUAUGUGGAUGGUACUUCCGGAGUAGAAGUAGCAUAUAUGGGUGAACGUGCAAGUGAAUCUUGAUUUAACCACAUGACAAGCUCCUAAGGGUCUACACAGCUUGACCACACUCAAUGAUCAUAAGCAGUAAAUAGUAAAUGUGUGGCUCAAAGUCUAGCAAGCAUGUAUAUAUGGCUGUGGUAGGAAUUUAAACUCUCAUCAUACAGGAACUCAUCAUGCAAUAUUUUAAAGAUUUUUCAAAGAUAAAAUUCUUCAGAAUUCUAGCAUCUCUAGGAACAGAUAAACAGCAGCUCAACCUUCCCAUAUCAUAUCCGUUAACAACUUAGAUUUCAGAUCAAGUUUUCAUCCCACGAGUUUAGAUCUAGAGCAAGCUUUAAAUUAUAACAGUUAUGUCUAAACUUGAGAGGGAACUUCAAAAUUGCAAAUUAGGCAGAGCAACUAUUCAUCAUAUCCAUGCUAGAGUUUUAUUAUUAAGAUUCAGAUUAGCAUAGCCACUUUAUUUAUUUAUUAAACAUACUA